rnacentral:rRNA from 1 species
ACGCUCGACACCUACUGAGGCAGCAGUGGGGAAUAUUGCACAAUGGGGGAAACCCUGAUGCAGCGACGCCGCGUGAGCGAAGAAGUAUUUCGGUAUGUAAAGCUCUAUCAGCAGGGAAGAAACUGACGGUACCUGACUAAGAAGCACCGGCUAAAUACGUGCCAGCAGCCGCGGUAAUCUGAGGCGGGCUGGCAAGGC